rnacentral:rRNA from 1 species
CGCCUCUUGUAAUCAUAAGAGGUCCAGCCUGCCCAGUGAUUUUAUUCAACGGCCGCGGUAUUCUAACCGUGCAAAGGUAGCGUAAUCACUUGUUUUCUAAAUAAAGACCAGUAUGAAAGGCAUCACGAGGACUCAACUGUCUCCUUUAUCCAAUCAGUGAACCUAAUCUCCCCGUGAAGAAGCGGGGAUCCUAUUAUAAGACGAGAAGACCCUGUGGAGCUUAAAACAUUGUAACAAGUGCCCCAACCUUCAACCACCCCGAUGUUUCCCUCUACCGGCACCCCUGAUUAUAUGUUUUUGGUUGGGGUGACCGCGGAGAAAAACCCAUCCUCCACAAUGAAGGAGACUCCUACCCUAAGCAACAAGUUACAACUUUAUGCAUCAAAAAAUUGACACUCAUUGACCCAAUAAAUUGAUUAACGAACCAAGUUACCCCAGGGAUAACAGCACAAUCCACUUUAAGAGCCCAUAUCGACAAGUGGGCUUAUGACCUCGAUGUUGGAUCAGGAUAUCCUAGUGGUGCAGCCGCUACUAAAGGUUCGUUUGUUCAACGAUUAAAAUCCU